rnacentral:rRNA from 1 species
AUUGAACGCUGGCGGCAGGCUUAACACAUGCAAGUCGAGCGGGGUGAUGGUGCUUGCACUAUCACUUAGCGGCGGACGAGUGAGUAAUGCUUAGGAAUCUGCCUAUUAGUGGGGGACAACAUCUCGAAAGGGAUGCUAAUACCGCAUACGUCCUACGGGAGAAAGCAGGGGAUCACUUGUGACCUUGCGCUAAUAGAUGAGCCUAAGUCGGAUUAGCUAGUUGGUGGGGUAAAGGCCUACCAAGGCGACGAUCUGUAGCGGGUCUGAGAGGAUGAUCCGCCACACUGGGACUGAGACACGGGCCAGACUCCUCCGGGAGGCAGCAGUGGGGAAUAUUGGACAAUGGGGGGAACCCUGAUCCAGCCAUGCCGCGUGUGUGAAGAAGGCCUUAUGGUUGUAAAGCACUUUAAGCGAGGAGGAGGCUCUUUUGGUUAAUACCCAAGAUGAGUGGACGUUACUCGCAGAAUAAGCACCGGCUAACUCUGUGCCAGCCGCCGCCGUAA